UACCCCACUAUGCCUAGCCAUAACAUAACAAUUAAACUACUAAUUGUUCGCCAAAUAACUACGAGUGAAAACUUAAAAUUUAAAAGACUUGACGGUACUUCAAAACAACCUAGAGGAGCCUGUCUAAUAACCGAUACCCCACGAUUAACCCAACCCAUCCUAGCCCAAUCAGUCUAUAUACCGCCGUCGCCAGCUUACCUUAUGAAAGAAACAAAGUGAGCCAAAUAGCCAACCUCCCCGCUAGCACGACAGGUCGAGGUGUAACUAAUGGGUGGGACUAGAUGGGCUACAUUAUCUAUAACAGAACAUCACGAAUAGCCUAUGAAACUAGAAACUGAAGGCGGAUUUAGAAGUAUACUAAGAACAACACUACUUAGUCGAAAUUAACGCAAUGAAGUGCGUACACACCGCCCGUCAUCCCUGCCAAUCAAACCUCAUAAUUCAUAAACAACUACACUAAACCUUAAGCAGGGCAAGUCGUAA
rnacentral:rRNA from 1 species